rfam:Ciona intestinalis ciona0023, whole genome shotgun sequence.
AAGAUCAUGCUUUUAGGGAUCAUUUCUAUAGUAUGCAUCUUGAAAACGUCGUCAUAUUUUGACGAUACGACAACUGCGAUGACGAGUCGUAGGAUUCUCCUCUGAGCAUGAAGCUUUACUGUUUAUAAAUUUAUUUACACACAGUUAUUGAGGAUUGUUUUCAAUACAAAUUCUAGUAUUGAAAGGAGGAGAAUCCUUGCUGAGCAGU